rnacentral:rRNA from 1 species
UCAAGUGACUAAGUGUACGAGGCGGAUGCCUUGGCGAUCACAGGCGAUGAAGGACGUAGAAGCUUGCGAAAAGCUGCGGGGAGCCGGCAAACGGGCCUCGAUCCGCAGAUAUCCGAAUGGGGGAACCCACCUGGAAACAGGUAUCGUCCCGCGAGGGACGAGGCGAACGGAGUGAACUGAAACAUCUAAGUAACUCUAGGAAAAGAAAUCAACCGAGAUCUCGAAAGUAGCGGCGAGCGAAAUCGAGCCAGCCGUUUACUAUUAACUUAAUGCAUAGACGAAAGGCGUGGGAAAGCCUGCCACAGAGGGUGAUAGCCCCGUAGUUAAAAUGCAAUGAGCGGAACUAAGGUAAACAAGAAGUAGGGCGGGACACGUGGUAUCCUGUCCGAAGAUGGGGGGACCAUCCUCCAAGGCUAAAUACUCAUGAUCGACCGAUAGCGAACCAGUACUGUGAAGGAAAGGCGAAAAGAACCCCGGGAGGGGAGUGAAAGAGAACCUGAAACCGCAUACAUACAAACAGUAGGAGCCCUACGGGGUGACUGCGUACCUUUUGCAUAAUGGGUCAGCGACUUACGUUUUGCGGCAAGCUUAACCGAGUAGGGGAGGCGCAGCGAAAGCGAGUUCGAACAGAGCGAUAGAGUCGUAAGGCGUAGACCCGAAACCAGAUGAGCUAACCAUGGCCAGGUUGAAGGUGUGGUAACACACACUGGAGGACCGAACCGACCGGUGUUGCAAAACCGGCGGAUGAGCUGUGGUUAGGGGUGAAAGGCUUAACAAAUCUGGAGAUAGCUGGUUCUCCCCGAAAACUAUUGAGGUAGUGCCUCGUGACUGACUCCGGGGGGUAGAGCACUGUUAUGGCUAGGGGGACAUGGCGUCUUACCAAACCAUGGCAAACUCCGAAUACCCGGAAGUUGAAUCACGGGAGACAGAGCACCGGGUGCUAACGUCCGGACUCAAAAGGGAAACAACCCAGACCGCCGUUUAAGGUCCCUAAUAACAGCUAAGUGGAAAACGAAGUGUGAAGGCUAAGACAGUCAGGAAGUUGGCUUAGAAGCAGCCAUCCUUCAAAGAAAGCGUAAUAGCUCACUGAUCGAGUCCUCAUGCGCGGAAGAUGUAUCGGGGCUAAGUUAAUAACCGAAAGCGCGGAUUUCGCAGCAAUGCGAAGUGGUAGGGGAGCGUUCUGUAAGCCUGCGAAGGUGACUUGAGAAGGUUGCUGGAGGUAUCAGAAGUGCGAAUGCUGACAUGAGUAACGAUAAAGCGGGUGAAAAGCCCGCUCGCCGUAAGCCCAAGGUUUCCUGCUCUACGUUCAUCGGAGCAGGGUGAGUCGGCCCCUAAGGCCAGGCUGAGAAGCGUAGCUGAUGGGAAGCAGAUUAAGAUUUCUGCACCGACGUUAAGUGCGAAGGGGGGACGGAGUUUUGAGCAUCAUCCGGGUGUUGGAUGUCCCGGUUUGUGCGUGUAGGAGGCCGGCAGGCAAAUCCGCCGGCGAAUCUCCGAGACAAAGCAUCGAGCUGCAUUUUGCAGUGAAGUGAUGGGAUGAACUUCCAGGAAAAGCCUCUAAGCAAUAGCUUAAUGUCGACCGUACCGUAAACCGACACAGGUGGGCGAGUUGAAUAUACUCAGGCGCUUGAGAGAACUCGGGAGAAGGAACUCGGCAAAUUGACACCGUAACUUCGGGAUAAGGUGUGCCUUUGUAGUGUGAAGAGUGAAACACUCCGAGCAUGAAGAGGUCACAGAGAAUAGGUGGCUGCAACUGUUUACUAAAAACACAGCACUCUGCAAAGACGAAAGUCGACGUAUAGGGUGUGAUGCCUGCCCGGUGCCGGAAGAUUAAGUGAUGGGGUGAGAGCUCCUGAUCGAAGUCCCGGUAAACGGCGGCCGUAACUAUAACGGUCCUAAGGUAGCGAAAUUCCUUGUC